GCUGGUUGCCCGUGAGACGAAUAUAAGUUCACCCUUAAUUUUACCCCCUAGACCUAAUCACUUAAUCGUAAAAAUUAAGAGCAAUUUAAAGGAGGUACAGCUCCUUUAAAACAGGAUACAACCUUCUCUAGAGGAUAAGCCAAAAUACCCCCUAACUUGUAGGCCCUUAAGCAGCCACCAACAAAGAGUGCGUCAAAGCUCCACACUAAAAAAAAUCCAAGAAUUCGUGCGACUCCCUCCCCCUUAACGGGCUAACCUAUUAAAAAUAGGAGCAUUAAUGCUAGAAUAAGUAACUAAGGAACCCCCUUCUAAAGCACAAACUUAAAUCAAACAUUAUUAACAGGCCCACUAAUAGCCCAACCAUUACAAGACCAACUAUCCAAUAACCUGUUAAACCAACCCAGGAGUGCUAAACUAGAAAGAUUUAAACCUGUAAAAGGAACUAGGCAAACCCAAGGCCCGACUGUUUACCAAAAACAUAGCCUUCAGCAAAAAAUAUCAAGUAUUGAAGGUGAUGCCUGCCCAGUGACACCACCAAGUUCAACGGCCGCGGUAUCCUAACCGUGCAAAGGUAGCGCAAUCAA
rnacentral:rRNA from 1 species